AUGCAAUGAUGUACAAUGAAUUUCUUCACCUGAAUAACCAUGUGGUAUUUUGAGCUUUUUAACCCUGAGCAUU